rnacentral:rRNA from 1 species
UACGAAGGGGGCUAGCGUUGCUCGGAAUCACUGGGCGUAAAGCGCACGUAGGCGGACUCUUAAGUCGGUGGUGAAAUCCUGGAGCUCAACUCCAGAACUGCCUUCGAUACUGGGAGUCUCGAGUUCGGGAGAGGUGAGUGGAACUGCGAGUGUAGAGGUGAAAUUCGUAGAUAUUCGGAGGAACACCAGUGGCGAAGGCGGCUCGCUGGCUCGAUACUGACGCUGAGGUGCGAAAGCGUGGGGAGCAAACAGG